rnacentral:lncRNA from 1 species
UGACCUCAACAAAUGUCAGCUUCAUAGCAAAACAUUUCUGAAUACAAAUGCUCAGCCCAGAUACAACAAAAUCCACAACCCCAAAAUGUGACAGAGCCGAUAUGGUUUGAGGAUUCACCUGGACAGCAAGUCUCAGCCCCCAAAAUCCAACCUGAAUGGAAAGAAAUGGAUGAAGGAGGUGAGAACAGCAGCUGAGCUGUGGUAGAGUUACUGCAAGCCUCUUAGAGUAAAGAAAGCCCUAUAUUUGAGCUCAGAGAAUGGCUGCACAGCAGUGAGAAGUAUUGGCCAAAAAUGCUGUUGGAACUACGAAACAUGACACAGUUGCAAUGGGAGGUUGUAAAACAAUCUUAACUUGAGAAAUCUUAGAAUCCUAUCCAAAGCAUCAAUUAUUGUGUAUGCAGCUUUCCAAUUAACAUGUAUGCAGCUCUCCAUCACUCGAAAAAACAACAGCGGGAAGAAUUGAGAGUGAGGGAUGAUUUUGAACUACCUGAUCUUUGAACAGUUUGGAAGUGG